AUGUCACAGCUCAAGGAGGCUGACGAAAGGUGCUGUAAGGAAACUGCCUACGGCUCCUUUCCCAGGAUAAUAAGAAGUGCCUUUUGCCUCCGCCAUGAUUCUGACCCCCUCCCCGCCCAGCCAUGGGGAACUUGUAUCUCCAGGACCUGGUAUACUUGUUAUGCGUUCUGGAUCCCUACAUGGUAUUUAAGUCAGAGCAAGAGAACAAGGGCUGUGGAAAACAAGUGGACUUCAGAUUUGGCCUAA
rnacentral:lncRNA from 1 species